UAUCAUAUUUGGAAUUACACUCCGCCUUCUAAAUCAUAAUUAUUAUUCAACAAUUUGUAAUCUCUUCAUUUUCAUGGCGUCCUUUUACUCUGUUACAGCACCACUGCUCUCCUUCCUUAAUUUCCUCUUCUUAUUCUCUACCUCCGCCGGUAACCACUACAGCCAUUCACCUAUUUCGAAGCCUAAUUCCUUCUCAUCAUCAUCCAUUCCGGUUGAGAUUCAAGAAGCUUGCAAGGCCUCACGUGACCCUCCAACAUGCCAGGCUGUAUUGGUAUUGGUCCAGCCAAAACAGUUAACUAUUCCCCAAAUCAUCCAAUCAGCCUUGGAAGUCUCUUCCCAGAACCUCAACCAGGCUCAGUCCAUGGUGAAGAAUAUCCUCGAUGUUUCCACAGGAAAUAUAAACCGUACAAACGCAGCAA
rnacentral:misc_RNA from 1 species